GGAAUUUAUGUUGUUUAUCAUCCAGAAAACAAGUUUGAAAUUGGGGUUAAGGGCAGAGGAAAUUUUUGUGCCCAAGUGAUUUAAGUAAACAAAGUCUAAAAUAGGCAGAUUUGAGCCUCUUCAGCAAAGAUUAAAUAAAUUCACUGCAUUUCCUUCCAGUCAUGAGAAAUCCCUGAACAACACCCUCUCCUUUAUCUCAAACCCUCUGAAAAAAAGUUGUCACGUAGAUCAGACAUCUAUGUGAAAAAAAAAAUCAAUGGUGAGGUAUUCAGAUGAAAAAUGUAAAUUAAGAUACCAUUUAAUAUUGAUGAAAGCAGGUUGGUGUAUUAUUGCUGGAGAAAAAAUAAGAAAAAUAAUAAGCCCUAGGAGCAUGGCAGGAUGGAAAGAGCAUUGAUUAGACUGUGGAAGACUUGGAUUGUGAGCUUGUUGCUGCCACUAGCUGAUUGCAGAGGUUCCAGAGACGCACUGAAUGUGGAGAACUCAGAAAUCCUAGAGAUAUAAUACAAAAAGAAACUGAAUCUCUGAAUGACUGUCUCAGAGGCUUCUCACCUAUGAGGAACACCUGCACCAACUAUUGUAUGAAUAAGGAAUCAAGCAAAUUGCUAUCAUAAAGCCACUAUAAUGUUUGGGUUCAUUUGUUAUACCAGCUAGCAUUACCCUAAACAUACUCAUCCAAUGCUCAUGCCUAAGCUUAAAAAUAAGGCAGCUUUACUGAUAUAUAUGUAAAUCAUAUGUCACAAUUGUAUAAUGCACUGAUUUUUAGGACAUUCACAUAAUCAUACCUUACCACUAUCCAAUUCUAAGACAUUUUAAUUACUCCUCAAAGAAAUCUCAUAACCAUUGACAAUCUCUCCCUAUUUCCCCUUAACCAUCCCAGCCUUAUGCAUCCACUAAUCUACUUUCUGUCUCUAAGGAUUUGCCUAUUCUGGACAUUUCCUGUAAGUGGAAUAAUGCAAUAUGUGAUCUUUUCUGAAUUGCUACUUCAGCUUGGCACAACAUUUUAAAAGUUCACACAUUUUAUAGUGUGUCUUACCACUUCAUUUCUUUGCAUUGCUUAUAAUAUUCCAUUGCAUGGAUAUAUUACAUUGUAUUCACAUAUGUCCAUUCAUUAUUUAAUGAUGCAUACCCAAAUUUUAUUAUGCUUAAAAUAUCCUAGAACCAUACUGAAAAGCAGACACAUUUAUAUAGAAGAUAUAUAUUCAAGGUCCUGUGGGUUGCAACUCUCCAGCUUUUAUCACAAAUGGUGACUUUAACUUAAAAAUCACUCAGGAAACCUGAAACAAUUAUCAGAUUAAUAAUAUACAAAAUCCUCAAGAGUGAAAAUAAACAAAAGAGAAACAAAAGGAAAGUACAAGGUUUCAAACUUUUCAAUUCAUGAAUUAAGGAAAAAAUAAUGCACUAUGGCCAAGUAGCCUGGGAACAGCCUCUGUGAGGGUCUAUUUCAGGGAAGAACCCAAGGAGCUGAAUCUGAUGUCAACACAAAGCAAUUAAGUAGACUUUAAGUAUUGCUGGGUCAGGAAAAAAACAUUCAUUAAAGGAAUGAAGUCUCAGUGUUUUCCUGAAGAUAAACUCCAGCUAUCCAAAAAUCAUUAAGGCUUAAUGACAGAGUCAAUUUGUUGGUGGUGUUUACAAAUGAAAUAUUAGCAUAUUUCUGUAGCCUGGGAGUUUGGAAUCCUGAUUACCUUUCCAUCUAGGAGAAGUCAAAUUUGUCAAAAGAUUUACAAGAUAGGAGAAAAACACUGCAAAACAGAAACAUGCGGUAUCUGCAUUUGCUCUCUUUAAGUCAUAAGGAGGACAUUCACAAAGAAAGGAUGGACUUCGCAGGCGUUCACUUGAUGCACAAUUAUCAGGCACCCCUUGUUUGCUGGACACUGUGGUGGUACCAGGAAUGUAGAGAUAUCGAGACACUGACUUGCUAAUUACAAUGGAAUGUAGUGAGGCCUGAAGAAGACACAUGGUUAAAGAGGAAAUGGAGAGAAUGACUAAUUCUGACCAAGCUCCUUGUUUCAGUGGAAAAUAUUUUGUGCUGAGCCUUUAGAGAUGAAUGUUUGUCAUGUGAGAAGGAGACCAAGGAAAUCCCAGACAGGAGGACCAGCAUGCACAAAAACUUGGAGUCACCAAAGGGCACGCUGGGUUUAGGAAAAAGAGAGUCAUGCAAGGCAGAAUCGUGGGGAAUGCAGAAGCAGGUGAAAGACUGCUUUAGGGUCAGUUUAUAAAGGAAUUUUAUGGCAAGCUCAAGAAUUUAAGUUUUGUUUUAUAGCCAGCAGAGAAUUGGCAUUUUUUGAAUAGCUACAUGAUUGAGCUAUUUUUCAAAUUUUAAUGUGAAAACAUAUACCCAUGAAAGAGAAUAAUAUUAAAUUACCAUAUACACAUCAACGCACAGUUGUCCAUAUAUUGCAACUUUUACUAUAUUUUAUUUAAGUGAAUGAUUUUAAAGCAAACCUCUCAUUUCAUGUCACCUCCUCAUCUCUGCAUAUGUGUAUGUUCUUGUCUACUCACAAUUCAUUUUUAUAGGUAACCAGAAACAUUGGCAUAAUUUAACUGGAUUCAUACUCAAAUGCCCCUAAUUAUCUCACAAUUAUAUAAAUAAACAAACAUGUAUUUAUUUUCGUUUUAUUUGAAAGGCAGAAAGACAGAAACAGAGAUCUGCUUCCCCUACCUUCUCCACAAUUGCCCAUAACAGCCAGUGUGGGGCCAGGUGGGUGGGGCUAAGCGGAAGCCAAGAGCCUGGAACUCUAUCCUGAUCUCCAACUAGGAUGGCAAUUACUGGGGUUCUUGAACCAUCACCUCCCAGGGUGCACAUUAGCAAGAGGCUAAAUAGAAUCCAAAGGGUGGAGACUUGAACUAUGCACUCCAGUAUGGGAAGCAGUGCCAAAACCAUAAUGUCAAACACCAACUCCAAAUACUUUUUAUAGUAUAUUUGCCCAAAUUAUAACCUCAGUUGAUUCCCAAAGCUGCACCAGAUUGUAACAAUACUUAUAAAUCUUAAUUUUAAGCACUUCAUCCACAUCCCACCUUUUUUAGCCCCAUGUCAUUGACUUACACUAACUCUGCUUUUCAAAUAAAAAACAAAUUUUAAAAAAGUGUGUGCAAAAAUGAAGUUAAAAAAACAAGUUUAUUUAAAAAUAUUUAAAAAGAAAUAUUAUAAACAAUUCUAUUGCCAC